GGUUGGCUAGCUCAGUUGGUUAGAGCGUCGAGCUAAUAUAACUCGAAGGUCAUGGGUUCGACCCCCCUGCUGACCA
rnacentral:tRNA from 1 species